rnacentral:rRNA from 1 species
AACGAACGCUGGCGGCAUGCCUAACACAUGCAAGUCGAACGAAGGCUUCGGCCUUAGUGGCGCACGGGUGAGUAACACGUGGGAAUUUGCCUUUCGGUUCGGAUUAACGUUGGGAAACCGAUGCUAACACCGGCUACGCCCUCCGGGGGAAAAUUUAAGCCGAGAGAGAAGCCCGCGUCCGAUUAGGUAGUUGGUGAGGUAACGGCCCACCAAGCCGACGAUCGGUAGCUGGUCUGAGAGGAUGAUCAGCCACACUGGGACUCAGACACGGCCCAGACUCCUACGGGGGGCAGCAGUGGGGAAGAUUGGACAAUGGGGGCAACCCUGAUCCAGCAAUGCCGCGUGAGUGAUGAAGGCCUUAGGGUGUUAAAGCUCUUUCGAACGCGACGAUGAUGACUGUAGCGUGAGAAGAAGCCCCGGCUAACUUCGUGCCAGCAGCCGCAGUAA